rnacentral:sRNA from 1 species
GCCAGGUGUGGUAGUGCAUGCCUGUAGUCCCAGUGGCUUGGGAGGCUGAGGCAGGAGGAUCACUUAGUGAGGCCCUAAGCAACUCGGUGAGGCCCUGUCUCUA